GGCUUCGCUCCUGGGGAGCCAGAAGCAUGGAAUCAGAAUUCCACUCUCCAGGUGGGAACGUUGUGAUGGAAUACGCUCUGAGAGAUAGAGGAGGCGACUUCUGCCAGGAGUGAUCAGGAGGACUUCUUGGAGGAGGCAGCACUUGAGCUGGUCUUGAAAGAUGAUGAGAUUUUAAUGGGAAAAGAGAUGAUCGAGAAGAACCUUCUAGCAGGAGGGAGCUGCCCUAGCAAAGACAGGAAGGCUGGAAAAUGCGAGAAGUGGGACAGGAAGAUCAACACAGGACCUCUCCCUUCUGAGCCAAACUGACACCUACCUCUUGCCAUGACAGGCCGCUCUUCUGGAGAUUAUAAACUAUUUAUUUUUAACAGAGAAACUGCCUUAGUUGGAGUUCUGGCUCUGCCACUUACUUAGGUAAGAAAGAACUUCUUGGGCCUCAGGCCCUCACCUGUAAAAGGGGCUGAAUAAUAGGAUUGUGCCUCUCUCCAAUGGGCUGUUAGAGGUUGGACUGCAUGCCCCCAAUACUCUUAUGCUGAGGCCUAACCCGGUGUGACUGCACAUGGAGACAGGGUGUGUAGGGAGGGGAUGAAGCUUAAGUGAGGCCACAGGGGAGGCCCAACCCUGUAGAGUCGUGUCUUUAUAAGGAGUGAAAGAGACACCAUUGCUUGCUUCUCUCCUGUGGGCAGAGGAAAGGCCAGGUGAGGACACAGGCAGGAGGUGCCCCCGCAGCCUCAGGCAGAGCCCUCACCACGCCAGCCCUGCUGACGCCUUGAUCUUGGACUCCCAGGCGUCUGCUGCAUAAGCCACCCCGUCCGACGUACUUUCCCAUGGCAGCUUGAGCAGAAUGAGACUGGGGCUUUGGAAGAAGGAACUUCACAUGUGAGGAGCUUGGAGAGUGGGACGUGCCAUGUGUGCACAUGUGCUGCUGGUGGUUGGUGUUAUUGUUAUUAUCAGGAGUGGCGUAUUCCCAGCCUCUGGAAGCUCACCUCGUGGUUUUCUUUCUUCUUCCACUUUUCGUUUUUUAGAUCAUGUCUGCCCUUAGCCUGACAUCCCCGCCAUGUAGGGCUCCAGGACUGCUGUGGCCUCAGCCCUUCCGGGCUCCAGGAGGCCCUGAUUCAUUGCUCUCCCCUCCCCCCUUGGCUGGCCUAGGUGCCUUGUCCUCUUUCUUGGGACGGUGCUCACUGACGGGCCCCAUGGGAGGAGGGAGACACGGCCAGCUGCCAUGCGGGAACAGCUGCCACAGCAUCGCCUCCUCCAGACAUUGCUCACCACCCCUGGCUUUCCUGAGCUUCUCACCAGCCCUGGUGGAAGUGAGCAAACAUGAUUACUUAUUCUUGUCUUCCCCAUCAGGAGGCCAGGGUGGGGGAAAGGCAGUGUGCCACUGAGUUGUUGGUCCUCUAACUUAGUGCUGGUCGCCCGCAUGUGCUCUAGGGCCUCGGGGCACGGUGCUGGGACAGCUCAGCUGGCAGACCUAGGACAGGGCUGGAAGGUGGGGGGCAGGGCUGGGGUCAGAACUUUUCUCCCUUCUUCCCUCCGGACUCAGGGAGGUCCCUUGGGCAAAUUCCUUGUCCAGACAGAGAUGUGUGGGGCGAGAGACACUCAGUCUCCUUAGGAGCAGUGAGCAGCGGGGGGCCCAAGACAACAGCCCCCUGUGGCCGCCUCCAGCCCCAGGACAGUGGCCUGAGCCCUGGGUCACCAUGCUCACUCCACCCAGCGCAGAAUUCUCCAGCGCCCAGCCUUGCAGAGGCAACGCGGCUCCGACAGGACCUGUAACCUCUUCCUGCCGCUUCUUUGUCAUGCAACCAGCCCUUCCCUCCAAAUCUUUCAAAAUCCUCUUCCCCAGGGGUCACUGCCCUGAUCUUCGGAGCAGGCUGUGGACAUGGACUCACUCUGCUGAGCUCUUCCUCCUCUGUGUACCGAGGCCACAGCCCCCACUCCGAUCCCCCACGCAGCCUCUGCCUGCGCUUUUGUCCCUUGUCCUUACCUUUAUCAAGCUCAAGGGACCCCGUAACCGCACGCCCUCCUCAGGGCCUUUUCAUUGGAAUUCCCACACUCUCUGCAUUUCUGAAGGACUGGUUGAAACCGCAGCGUUCUUCUAAGUGGCAGGUUGCCAGGAAGGCCACGACCCGCUCAAGCUCCUCUCGUGACGAGGACGCCACCUGAAACAGUCGGGCUGCAGUCGCCGCCGUCCUCCGGCUCCCACUCUGCUGGGGUCUCCCUGCUGACCCGGCUUCCCCAGCGCCUCCGGUUCUUCCCAGCCCGAUCUCUCUCCACUGUCAUCCUCAGUGCCAGCCUGUCUCCCACGCCAGCUCGUAAACUCCAGGGUGGCGACUUUGUCUCACUUUCUUUUGUGUUCUGAGCACCUGACCUGGGCAGCCCUGAAGGCAGCUGUGUGAGGAGUCCAGGCGGUGGCCAUGACCCCCGAGCACGCCAGGCGUUAUCCCAGCUGAGCCUCCAGAGUCUCUGGGCUUUCUUCAUAGGUGCUGGGGCAGUCACUCUCAGCCACGACAGGGACACACGAGGCCCACCUCCCAGGAGAAAGCGCCUCUUUCCUCGCCUUUCUGGCCCCAGAGAAAUACAACUUUCAAGAAAGAGUUUGUUCAUGACAAAGUGAGACAGAGUUAAGAGAGAAACUCAGGAUUCAAGGUGAAGAUGUCAGAUGCGCUUGGAUGUGGGAGGAAAGAUCCACCCUGGCCCUCAGUGGAGAGUUCUGACAGUGGUGGGUGCCACUGGGGCUAGGUCCUUUGUGCUGUGGCAGCACCAUCUCCCCCAACCUGCUGCAACUGGGGCUCAGCUGCCUUUUCCAGAGAUCGUGGGGGGUCGCCUCAACUGCGGGGUCACCUGUCCCAACCACUCUCAGCCAAUGACUGACAGACGGGCUCUGGGCUGGGGCCUCUGGGCCUCCAUGAGGGACCUACUCUACAAUUGACACAUCAGGGCAGACAUUGUAGGAUGUGAAUCACUGCAGGGGGAGGAUGCCUGGCAGUGAGACUGUCUGUCCCAGGAGACAGGAAUCCUCACAUUUCCCAGACAAGGCCAAAUUGGGUGUGUGGGAUUUUCUACAAAGUUUUAAAGAAAAAAAAUUUUUAUUCUGAAAUUAUCCUAAUUGUGGUAUUAAAAUGUCAUUUAUUUAUUUAUUUUGAGAUGGAGUCUCACUCUGUCACCCAGGCUGGAGUGCAGUGGCACCAUCUCAUCUCACUGCAACCUCCGCCUCCCCAGGUUCAAGCAAUUCUCAUGCCUCAGCCUCCCAGGUAGCUGGGACUACAGGUGUACAGGUGCGUGUCAUCAGGCCUGGCUAAUUUUUGUAUUUUUAGUAGAGAUGGCAUUUCGCCAUGUUGCUUAGGCUGGUCUCAAACUCCUGACCUCAAGUGAUCCGCCUGCCUCAGCCUCCCAAAGUGCUAGGAUUAAAGGUGUGAGCCACUGCACCCAGCCAAAAUGUUUUUUCUUUAAUCCAGUAAUGGUGAUUAAAAAUCCUUGCUUAACAAAAGAAAAAGUUGGUCACAUACGUCAGUCCUCAAAUGUGUUCUGAAACAUUCAUGGGCGUACCUCCUAGAGGCUGUGAGCCACGGCUCUGCAGGCAUCUGGCUCAGUCCCCCUCUCCGGCUCCCCUGGCCCCCACUUUGGCAGCUCUUCCUGGGCUGUGAUUUUGUUUCUGCAGAGUGGCCACCAUUCUGCAGAAACGGUCAUACCCUCUGGGACCCUCUGCCUCACAGAGGCCCCCACGUUCCUGGGCCCUCCCUAAGGGGAGCCUUGUUUCUCCGAGGAGAUCUUGGGCUCACCGGUUAUGUUUCAGGGACCCACAGGACAGGAUUCCUGGCUCUAGUGUUUAGAAACACACUUGAGAGAGCCAGGUUGAAAGCUCUCCCUGGGUGCGUGACCACACUUAGGUGGUGAAGGUGGGGACGCCUGCAUGGGCGCUGGGGGGCUCAUGCACAGCUGGCCACCCUCAUCCCUGGUUUGUCAGCGCAGACCCCUGGGAAGCCUCCUCGCCUGCUGUGGUCUCUCUUCUAAGCAUCUUCAGUGGUGCAGUGGCUCAGGCUCUCACUGUGCUCAAGAUGCAGGCUGAACGUCACACUCAGGCUAAGGCCAAGCCCCCCACCUCCCCACACCACCCACCCCUGUCUAGUGAGGACGUGCUACUCUAGCUAAGUCCCUACCAUCCUCCUCGUCCACCAUGGCUGGCAGAAUCACAUCUCAGAACUAAAAUGUAGAAGUUGAUUUUCAGCAUAAAGAGCUUGUUUCCACACAUCUCAAGAUUAGGAAGUGACUUGUACUUGGAGAGAUAAAUGUUGACUUUUCAUGGAGAAAAUGGACAAGGUCCUCUCCUACUGGCCUGGCCCUAGGCUAGUUGAUCUCUUCGGUGAGAUCUGGGAUGUGGGGGACUGGGACGUGGGUCCUGCUCCCCUCUGCUCCAGGCACACAGCUGGCCAGAGGCUGGUGCUGCAGGAGCUGGCGUGGGUGCGGCCCCCAUGAGCCCUCACUGCCCUGGCCUGUCCCAGCCCUGCAUGGUGGAGGCUGCCCUGCCCUGCAGGAACAUGUGGCUUCCUCUUGGCUGCUCCAGCUUGCUUGGUGCUGUGGUUUGAAUGUGUCCCCCAGUUUCAUAGGCUGGAAACUUACUCCCCAUAGUCACAUGUUGAUUGGAGGUGGGGCCUUUGGGAGGUAACUAGGAUUAGAUGAGGACAUCAGGAUGGGACCCGAUGGGGGAUGUGGCCUUAUGAGAAAAGGAAGGGAGACCUGAGCUGGUAUACGUGCUCUCUCACCAUGGGACACCUUCCGUCAUGGGAUGAUGCUGCAGGAGGGCUCUCACCGGAUACGGCCACUCGACUUUGGACUUCCCAACCUCCAGAACUGCGCAAAAUAAAUUUUUCUUUAUAAACGGCCCAGUCUGUGGUGUUCUGUUAUAGAAACACAAAACAGACUAAGACACUUAGUUCUCCUGAUGUCCCCUACAGCCUGUCUUCCUGCAGUUCCUGAGUGCUUGGCCUCCUUGGCCUUUGCAGGUCAUGGUGGGCUCCUUGUAGGGCCCAGCCUUUCCUGGUUUCCCCGUCCAGCAUCCACCUGUUGCCUGGAGCCAACCCCAUCUGCAGUUGGAUAGUGGUGGUGCCCCCACUUCAUGCUGGCUCCCAAAAGAGACUUACUUGCGUCUUAAAGCAAAACCAGUAUUAAAAUUCUGCCCUACUCUUGUUGUAUCUUAAGGGCUUACGUGAAACACUUUUUUUUGUUUUUGGAAUCGCAUUGAAUGCAAAAUGGGCCCAGUUGGAGGGCGCUAGCCAGGGCGGGAACUUGUGGGUACCAGGUUAAUUGGGGUUCUGGUUGUGGAGGGAGAAAAAAGGACCUGACUUUCAUCCCAACCACUUACCUGUGCAGGUGCCACCUGCCUGUCUGCUCAGCCAACCGACCCAGAGCAUGAACUGGUUAUUUGCACAAUGGAAGUGAAAGAGGGAAAAGGUGCUAGAGGCAGAAAUUGAUUCAUUGGCAAGGAGACCUUCAGCUUUGACAAUUUUCUCAAGGAGGCAAAGGAUGAAAGUGCUUAGCCCACAAGAAAAAUCAUCUGAUUAAGCUGGGGUUUAAAAUAAAGCAAGAACUUCACAGUAUCUCUCACAUCAAGGGACUAGUUCUCACACCUGUUUUUGGGAGAGCUGGUGAAAGGAGGAAGGAGAUGGUACCUUGAGGAAAAGCCACCUUUGGGAGAUUCUGAGCAGUUGCUAAGUGUCCCCUGGCCCUGGAGCCGGCACCUACCUUCUGCCCACUCGGACAGUGCAGUGAGUCAGAGACGGCACAGGUGGAAUGAGACUAACUGUGGCCCCACCCUGGCCGGCAGCCCUGUGUUGCAGAGCAUAGCACAGCCAGCAGAGGGACCAGGAGAUGCAGGAGCCCUCCUAGUCUCCCCCUGCACCGCCCUCACCACCCACCCCCAUGAGGAAGGGGCCGUCCCAGAAGAUGCUAAGAGGCUCAGCCCCUCCUCCAUGGAGUUUGGGAAGGUGACAGUGUUAAGCUCCCCCACCUCCCAGAAGGAAUCCGGUUCCCAAACUGGGAGAUGGUCCUGAUUACCACGGAGCAAUUAAGCAAGCUGCGGAGGAGAAGCCGUAGUGAAGACCCUCCCCACGCAUGCUGUGUUUGCUCAUAGGAGCAGGGGCAUGAAAGGUUUUGUAACAACAAAAAAGAAAGCUGGCUCCAAGUGUGGAAAGAAAGCAGAGGAAGGAACGGGUGGGGACCCUGUUGGCAGCUCUCCCUGAGGACGGGCCAGGAUGGGGGGUCCUGGGGUCUGGGAUUCUGACCCCAAUCUUUAGAGCAGUCCCUAAGCCCCUUGCUCGCAGGGAGUGAAGCACCAGCAGGCAUGGCUGCCAGGUCAGCAGACAGCCGACUCGGCUUCCUCGAUGGGCAGCUUGCCCCGAUGUCACGGCUGGCAUUCACCGUGGCCCAUGAAGGCGGUGGAGAGUGCCCCACAGGAGCAAUCUGCCGCCAAAGGGGACGUGACGCCUGCCAGGAAUGCCCAGCACACACCCAGUCUCGGGGCACCUGCCCUCACAGCUGGGGGGCGUCACCUAUGUGCCCCGAAUGUAGUAGAUCAUGUGGUGCCUGCACCAAGGCCGUGGCAUGAAAUUCAAUAAAAUUUCCCCAAAUUCAUUGUUCAGUCAUGACUCAUUUCCAAGGAAAGGAGUGAAAUCCACCCUUCUUCCUUUGUUCUUUCUUCCUCCUUUGAAAGUGUCCCCAUGGAGAAGCCCCCACUCCUACAGUCUUGAGAAAGAGCCUCUCACACACUCACACCCAUUCCCACACACAGACACACUCAUACACACACACAUAUUCCCACACACACUCAC
rnacentral:lncRNA from 1 species